GAUGAACGCUGGCGGUAUGCUUAACACAUGCAAGUCGAACGGACUCUUCGGAGUUAGUGGCGGACGGGUGAGUAACGCGUGAGAAUCUGGCUUUGGGUUCGGGGCAACUACUGGAAACGGUGGCUAAUACCGGAUGUGCCGAGAGGUAAAAGAGAAAUUGCCUGAAGAUGAGCUCGCGUCUGAUUAGCUAGUUGGUGAGGUAAAGGCUCACCUAGGCAGCGAUCAGUAGCUGGUCUGAGAGGAUGACCAGCCACACUGGGACUGAGACACGGCCCAGACUCCUGCGGGAGGCAGCAGUGGGGAAUUUUCCGCAAUGGGCGAGAGCCUGACGGAGCAAUACCGCGUGAGAGAAGAAGGCUCUUGGGUUGUAAACCUCUUUUCUUAGGGAAGAACAAAAUGACGGUACCUAAUGAAUCAGCAUCGGCUAACUCCGUG
rnacentral:rRNA from 1 species